GACGAACGCUGGCGGCGUGCCUAAUACAUGCAAGUAGAACGCUGAAGGAGGAGCUUGCUUCUCUGGAUGAGUUGCGAACGGGUGAGUAGCGCGUAGGUAACCUGCCUGGUAGCGGGGGAUAACUAUUGGAAACGAUAGCUAAUACCGCAUAAUAGUAGAUGUUGCAUGACAUUUGCUUAAAAGGUGCAAUUGCAUCACUACCAGAUGGACCUGCGUUGUAUUAGCUAGUUGGUGGGGUAACGGCUCACCAAGGCGACGAUACAUAGCCGACCUGAGAGGGUGAUCGGCCACACUGGGACUGAGACACGGCCCAGACUCCUACGGGAGGCAGCAGUAGGGAAUCUUCGGCAAUGGACGGAAGUCUGACCGAGCAACGCCGCGUGAGUGAAGAAGGUUUUCGGAUCGUAAAGCUCUGUUGUAAGAGAAGAACGAGUGUGAGAGUGGAAAGUUCACACUGUGACGGUAUCUUACCAGAAAGGGACGGCUAACUACGUG
rnacentral:rRNA from 1 species